UCUAGCCAAAUCUUUGUUCAAUAUUUAGUAACUUCUCUGCCUAGGAAAGAGUAGCUGGAGGCUCCCUGGUGAAGAUAAAAGAAGCUGUCAUCACUGCAAGAUGAGGCCAUUGCUGGAUGGUUUAGUAACUAGCCAUCACCAAUGAUCUGUGCCCCACUCCCAGAGAGGUACACGUGGAAACCAUUUGUUAAGAUAUGCAGGACUGAAGAACAAAAAGAACCAAAGGGCCCAAUUCCAGGCAGAAGAAUUGCUUUCCAUUGGCGUAGGAGGCACAGUGCUCUGCACACAGUCAGGCUGUUAUGUACUUAGCUUGUUGGUGAAGUAGUGCUGCUGAGGACCCUGGAAGAAGCAGGAGCCUCUUCACUCCUGGCCUGC